rnacentral:lncRNA from 1 species
GGCCUCAGUAUGCUUAUCAAGGCCUUGGCUGAGCUGUGCUCGCUCCAGAGCUCCAACCUCACAACACUGCAGCUCUCUGUCCAUGAAGAGUUCCUUUCAAUCCUUUUGUCACUUUGCUAAGGCCAUCUUUUGAAACUUGACUCUGGUCGUCCUGGUUCGUUUGUACCACUUAGAAUAACAUGCACUAGAGUUGAAUGUCUCAAACUUAGGGCAUCAGAAUCACCGGGGAUCUUGACAGACUGUGGGUCUUAGCAGGUCUGGGUUGGUGCCCAGGGUUCUGAAUAUUUAGCAAACUCUCAGGUGAUACUUUAGGGUAGGAAAUACUCUGGCAAAUUCCUUAAACUCAGAGCCUUCUCUGAAGCUGGAUUCCUCUGAGAAUUAAGUGGGAGAAUGUUUGUAAGGGAGUGUUUUAAAAGCCGUUGUUUCCUGCGUUCCCUGACCGUCUCCACUCCCCAGUGGUGCACCUUCCCUGUCUGUGCUUACCCAUCGCUAGCAGGGCUCCUGGCAUCUCCUAGGGCCUUAAUGUUUGUUUAGUGGUGAGGGAAUGACCCGUGGAGGAAUUAACUGGGUUUUUGUGUUACUCAGAUGAACAUAAAAUUAAGACUGCCACUUUUGUUUUUUCCUUCUUUAGGAAUGCUUUAAGAUGACCAUUAAAUCUAAGCCCUAAGUGACAGACCCAGGUGUUGGACUCUGAGCUCAUUUCUGUAUACUUCGUCCUGUGGCCGUUAACUGUAGGCUCUAUUGCCAGAAGUCAACACUCAUUGACCAUUUUCAAGUACAACUUUGUAGACUAUUUCCAGUAGUUUUUUGUUGAAAACCAUUUCUUGUAGCAAGUGUCAAAUGGUAAUUCUUGUGAACUAUUUGAAAGUAUUGAUACUGCGUUUGGUUUAAGGAGAAAUUAGAAGUGAUCAGAACAGUGGUUCUCAAAACUUGUGGGAUUUGCUCUCACCUGGAGAACUUUUUAAAAGGUAAGUUUCUGAUUUGGUCCACCUAGCACAUAGGGCCCAAGUAUAUGCAUUCUGACAAGUUCCCAGCUGAUGAUGCUUUUGCCUUGACCACUGCACUAGGAGGAUUCCCUUCUGUUGAUUUGCUGUCCUUUGGUACUCCAAACUAGAACCUGAUUGGAUGGCCAAGAAGUCAGGCCUGUGCAUCUUGUUAAAGUGAAGACCUUAACACCAGCGGCAGGCAGCAGCUGUGCUGUUUCGCUGUAGAUAAUUUGAGGAGGCCCCUAAGGCUGGGCAUUAAUCUGCUCAGUGCUUCUCCCACACAGGUAAGGCAAGCUUUGAAUAGGUACCAGAAACCAUUGUUUCCUGUCCUUGAGCAUUUGCUUUUGAAGGAAGGGUUUUAAUUGCUGAUUCUGCAAGUGUUCUGUGUAUAUUUAGUAUAAAAGUAAAAAAACUUAGUCGUUGUUUUAUUAAGUUUGUGAAAACAAAACACCAAAUUUGAACCAACAUACAACAUAUAGCAAAAAGUACACGAAAACAUCUUUGAAAGAAAGAAACAGAUAGGUUUCUAGACCAGUCCCAGACUGCCCGUGGCUGAGCUUUCUCCGUCUUAACUUGGGUUGGCUGUAAACUUGAAGGAUGGGUUGGAUCAAUGUUCGCACAGGCCUCACUGUUUUUCCUAGCCAGGUGUCUACUGUUAUUUAAUGUUUGUCUUUAGACUGCUUCCAGUUUUUGUUUUUUUGUUGCUGUUUUAUUACCAACAAAGCUGCAAGGAAUGUCUUUGUGCAUUUAUCUUCACGUACUUGUGUUUCCUUAGGAUAAAUUUUAAGAGGUAGAAUUACUGUGUCAAAGUGAUGUAAGGGUAGAUAGAUAGUACCAAUUUGCCUCCAAAAUAUUGUAGUUAUCUACUCCAACCAGUGUUGAGAGGAAACUCCUAUUUCGGGAACUGUCUCAUAAUUGUCAUUUUAUUAGCAUUUACCCCAGCCCCUAACUUGCUAACAGUGUUGCACAUAGUCAUUAACUUUUUAGAAAUAUUAAUGUGAAUUAAGUGGUUUUAAACUGGAUAAUUUCCACUUUCUACUUCUUAAAAUUCUACAGUCAAGAUGUACAGGAUUGUUCCAGCUUAUCAGUACAGAACUGAAAUCAUUCAAGUUCACACACUCCCACCCAGCCUUGUGCUACUAAUUUGUGAAUGGAAAGAUACUCCUCCUUCAACACACUAUACCACCAGGUGCCAGAAACUUGUGAACUAUAAAUCAAUGACUAGGCAAUGACUGCCCCCAUGCCAGGUUUGUGCAAAGAACUCGCAUAAUUGUAAGCACAGCCCUGCGCUGCUUCUGUGGUUCUUAAUUAUGGUCUACUAUCAUUGGAAAAUACAAAGUAGUAAUCCUAAAAUGAUAAUUAACAUUUAUUGAGCACUUAUGUGUCAGGUACUAUUGACUUUCAGUCUAACUACCCUUUCUAACAAACACUACUAUGCUGACUUUACCCAAGAGGAAACUGAUGCACAGAGAGGUCAAGGAAUCUUGUCAGUGCCAUUCAAAUCAUUCAGAAUGCCUCUAAUGCCAGUACUGUAUUCUGAAAAGUGCAAGCUACUCUAUGUUGAAACUUUUUUUUGUGUGUGUGUGAGGAAGAGUGACCCUAAGCUAACAUCUGUGCCAAUCCUCCUCUACUUAGUAUAUGGGAUGCUGCCUCAGCUUGGCUUGAUGAACAGUGUGUAGGUUCAUGCCUGGGAUCUGAACCUGCAAACCCCGGGGCUGCCAGAGUGGAGUGUGUGAAUUUAACCACUAGGCCAGCUCCUGGAACAUUUCUUAAUAGCAUAAUAAAGAUAAUUGGAACCUUGUGGAAACAUGUGGUGGGUAUAUGGAUAUUCAUCCUAUUAUUUUCUUUAUGUGCUUGAAAAGAUCUUAUUUAAGUCUUAUUUUUUAAAGUAAUAACAUGCUAUUUUUAACUCUGAGUUCUUUAUCUCUGAAAACUAAGUUAAAGCUUGACAACAUUCUUGGUCAACCAGCAUUUGGGGACCCCACUCUGGGCCAGGAGAACUCAAGGAAGCAGAAGCUGCCGCAGCUGCAGCCCUCAGGGAGUUCACGAGGUGGGGCUCAAAGCUCAGCUCCUGAUGCAGGAGGUCCUGUUCUCGGAGUCCUUUCUUGCUUGAGGAAGGGGGAAUGUGGGGAUGCACCAAGCGGGGAUCCCCAUAGGAGAUAAGCAGUACGGAAAUGAUGAAGACAAAAGUGCAAAGUGGAAUUUGAGUUUAUGGGGGAGAAAUCUCUCUCCCUUGCUCUCUUAACCACAAGAUACCACACAGUGAAGAAAACAAGAAACAGUAGCAGAGAAAUGCCCAUUGGCAGAUUAACAGAGUUGUAAGUACAGCUGCAUCCUGUUGUACCCCACAUCCCCACCCUAAAACUCUUGUCCAGCCUCCUUUGAGCUUGGGUAAUUUGAUCCUCACCUGGAGAGCCACUCUAGGCCAUAGAAGCAUAGGGAAGCUGUCAUGUGGUUCUUGGGGCCACCAAACCUCCCGCCUUACUAACCUGAGCCAAGAAGCAGAGAAGGCCUUGGUUUCUAGCAGGGAUAAAUGUGCCUGACUCCAGGAAAAGACUUGCUCAGACCACAAAUGCAUCUAUUUAUAUCUCGUAAUCUGCUGGGCCAGCAACAUGCUAAUAACCAGCUGGGCACGAUGGAGAGGCCACAGGCCAACUGUCAGAAUGGCGAGAGCCCUGCACUCGUGGUCAGAGAAAAUAACAGACGUGGAAGCGCUGCAUCAGCCAAAAAGCGGCAUAUGAAGUAUUCCAGCUGUUGUUACUGUGAGCUGGUUUCACCACCUACUGGUUUAUGUCCUUGGACAAGUCAACCUGUCUGAGCCUCAGUUUCUUCAUCUAUAAAAUGGAAACAGUAACUCUCUGUUUAUCUUAUAGGGCUCUUGGAAACUCAGAUGACAUAAUUUAUGCAAAAAUUCCCUGUAAACUGAGCAAAUGUAAAGUAGUAUUACUGAUAUCUGUUCUACUUAAAAACAGGACGAGCAAAGAGUGAUGGAUUCCAGGGCAGAAGUCAGUGGAGAGCAGCUGGUGUAACCUUGGACACCAUCCUAGAGGAAGUCUUGGUAACAGCCACAUUUUCAAAGAGAUCAUGAGGAGUGCAUGAUUUUGUUAGCCUUGUGGUUUCACCAGCGUGAUCACCAGGCCUUUUCUGGGAAAGAACACAGUGGGAAGUGGAAACUGUAAAUGGACACGCUCCUUGGGAGUCCUCAGUCCCCCACACAGGCCCCCCUGUCAGCCCCUGACUAGUCUUCACACUUCAGGCUAGGAAAUCACCCCACGGUUUUGAAGAGAAACGUGAUGUUGGUGAAAUGCCAGAUUGGAAACCAAAGGCUUGUGGGUGGCCCAGCAGCACCACAGCCAGAAGGAGACUCCAAACUGGGCUAGAAGAGAGAAACAAUUGGUAAGGCCAAGGAGACCAUAGUCGGAGUCGGGUCUGAGGACGAAGAGAGUCCCCACAUGGGAAAAAAGUCCUGGGGUCAGAAUGGAAAUGAGUGGACAAGAAACAAAGUGGGAGGAGGUGAGAGCAAGCAAUUUUGGCGAGGUGCCGCGAGCAGCAUCUCCUGGGCCUCCUUCCCACACGGAUAGUACACGCGCCUCAGAACUCACAGCGCCCACGAUCCUACCACUCAGAGGAUUGUCUGGUGGCUUCCUCUCGGUUAGAUUGGAGUUGUGGGUUUUGGACAGCGUCCCUCGGAGGUGAGGUGCCCUUCUCAUCGCGUCGAGGUGGAUGGCGGUGCAAGACCUCCCUGGGGAAGUUGACCUCCAUCACUGGGUAGUGCAGUUUGCAGCGUCCUCCCCUAUCAAGCUGGAAUCCAUUUUCCAGGCUCAGGACUGUUAGGUGUGGCCAUGUGACUGUAUUCUGGCCAACGGCAUGUGAGCAGAGUAGCAGGCACGACUUCUAGGUCCCUGAAGACCUCCCAAGCACAAUCCUCACUCUCUGCCAUCGGUUCUCCUGCUGAAGGGAGAGGACUUUAAGGAGAAAAAAAGGAUGGAGCCACAAGGCAGAAAAGGCCUGGGCCCCUGAGUGAUUAUGUGGAGCAGGGCCCCUUCCCCACCUUUCCUACCUCCUUCUCCUCCCCCUCUUUCCUUCCUCUCUCUCUUCUUUCCUACUUCUUCCUUUCUCUUUUCCUUCCUCUCCUCAGUCCUUCCACCAACUCACAAUGGACUGUAAACGAGAAAUAAGCUCUUGUUAUGUUAAACUACUGGCCUUUUGGGUUUAUUUAUUACAACAGCUGGAGUUAUUUGCUUAUCUAACACACAAUGGAGUGUACCUUAGGGGGUAUUUCCCAAACUGAGAUGUCCUACUCCUUUGAGAAACUUUCUCCUGCACAAAUGGGAGUGGGCCUGAACUGUGAAGAAUUAACCUCACCCAAACAGAAGUCUGGUCUUUGCUCUCAGCUACUGGGAGGUGAUCUCCAGGCGUGGAAUGUCCCAUCUGAUGUGAGCGUCCUUGUUUUCCUGGGGUUUUAGCUACUGGACCGUCUAACAGUGUGAUUUAUGAUGAGGGCUUUGGGCCACACGGUAUCAGUUCUGACCUCUGGACUGAAUGGAGACAAAAGAUAUGAGCCCAGCCUCUGGAAGCCAUGGAGACUAAAGGUCAGCCGCACUGGCAGCAUGUCAUGGAGCCCCAGUAAAAACUGGGAGAAGGUUGCCCAUCCACGACUUCACAGGUCACGACCAGAAGCCCCAUAUUUGAACCUCCCUGGACUCUGCCCUACGUGUGUCUUCCCUUGGCUGGUUCCAGUUUGUAGCCAUUCUCUGUAAUAAAACUCACCUGGGAGUGUAUUAGUUUUCAAUGUUUCCUCGCGGUCUUCAGGCACUUGGUGUUGAAGAGGAGAAGCAUGACGAUGUUUGAUUCCUUUUCUCUGAGGUAGCCUUUGUAACAAAAUGUCUCAAUAUUUGUCAGAUUUCUUUUUCUAUCCUUAAAAUUUUUUAAAGUUCAGAUUAAAAAAAUAAGAUUGGAGAUUACAGGAAAUUUGGAAAGUACAGAAAAUUUACAGAAAAUUAAAAACAACCAAUGAAACUACUACCUCACGAUAACUAUUGUUAAUAUUUUUUGGUGUGUUGCCUUCCACAUACUUUAAAAAUACACUAUUUAUACUAUAACAUACUAUAAAUACACUAUUAAAAAUACAGUAAAAAUAAAGGUAAUAAUAUCAUUAUAAUUUUAUGCACAGCAGAGAAACUUUUAAAAUUAUCUGAAUUUGUAAACAAUUCUAAGAUAUUUAACUGAAAGAUAGUGGUUCUUAAAACUGGCAGCUGUGGAGCCUCAUUGAGAAUGGGAUAAAAUCUGAGCCCUCCAGAAAAGGCAGUAUACACAAACGUCCAAAAUUCUGCACACAAUUUCAAAGAGUUCAUGAAGUCACUCUACAUAGUCCAAAUUAAGAAGCCUUGAUAAUAACGACUAACAUCUAUUGGGUAAUCUCUAUGUGCUAGGCACUCUUCUAAGGGUUGUAUAUGUAUUAACUAAUUUAAGCUUUAUCAUAACCCCAUGAGGAAGGUAAU